UGUCGCGAGGACAUUUUUACAAAAAAAAAAACUCUAGCUUCUCCCGACCAAACCUGCGCUCCUUGUCGUCCUCCUCCGACAGAAGCAGCAGCUGCGCUGCUCUCCGCCGCCGCAGCUUCCCUGCUCCCCGCCGCCGCAGCUGCCCUACUCCCCGCCGCCGCAGCCCCCCCGGCUCCCCCGCUCUCCCGCCGCAGCUGCCUCCUGCUCCGCUGCCGCAGUUGCCGCCCGCCUGCCUCCCCAAGCUCCCCCCUUCCUCAAAAAGACCUUCAAUUUCCCCAGCUACCGCCGCGCUCUGCUCCGGCUGCGCCGGAACUGCCGUCGGAGAGCCCGGAGGCGCCGGAUCUGGACCACCAACAACAACGUAAAGGCCGAUGAGCAGCCAGGUGUCGUCCUCGCCGUCGACGACGACGGUGUCGUCGACGCCACGGAGCGAGGGCGAGAUCCCCCAGUCGGCCAACGUCAAGAGUUUCGCCUUCACGGAGCUGAUUUUCAGCUGGCUGCUGCUGCUGCUGCCCCCGGUAGCGCCGGCACCGUGCUGCCGCGUCCGGCACUCGCACCGGCGGCCGGCGGGGCACGCCUUCAAGCGUCUACUGACGGUACCCAAGAGCGUGGGGUACGAUCAGAGAACAAGAUGAAUAAUCAGCUACUGCUAUGACGCAGCGGUGCAAGAACAAGAUGAACACCUCAACAUGUGCAUUGCUGGUUAGUGUUUACAUCUCCAUCUUCUCUGUUACUCAAAUGUUCUGAACUUUCUGAAUCUCUGAACCACUUUACUGAAUGUGAGUAAAAUCUGUUCAUUUUCUGAACCACUUCACUGAAUGUGUGUAAAAUCUAUUCAUUUUCUGGUUGGAAUAUUUGGACUAGUUCUGCUAGUUUAGAGUUUGGAGUAUUUGCACAGUUAACUGAACAAUUUUGCACAGAUAACUGAACAGUUUUGCAAGCAUUCGAUCUAUGAACAAUUUUGUUUUCUGUAAGAUUUAUACUGUCUCUAAAUUCAGUCAUGAACUAUGAACUCUGAAAUUAGUACUGUCCCAAUAGCAUUUUAAAUAUUCAAGUUAGGACUGCACUUUUAAAGUUCAAGAUACUCCUGUAAAUUAAACCUCAACUUGCAGAGUUGUUGUUUUUAGUUAACUGAAAUUAUAGUGACUACUCCUACUUUUUCCUUCUCCUCUGUUCUGAAACUUCAGCUAUCAUAUCUACAGUACCUAGCUACUGUCAGAACAGAACACUGUAUAUCUAUAGCUUCAUUUUAGAAAUUUAAUGAGUGCAUUUCUAAAAUGGCAAAGAUUAUGGCGCAAAGAUUAGUUACAUCACAUCAAGCAUGCCAUUCCAUCUUUGAUUCUGUUUUUGAUGGAGUACUAGGUAACCUUGUGAAGUGAAUAAUGAGCAUGGGCAAUAAAUAUCCACUACUACUCCCACAUUAUGUCUUUGAUUCUGUUUUUGAUGGCACUAAAUCUUGAAAAUACUAGCAGAAGUAAUAUUGUCAACCACUGGGCCCCAAGGAGAUAUCAUCAUCAGUAGAUAUCUACAAUUUUAUUACUGGAGCCACCAUACAAACCAUGCAAACCUCAUACUCUUUUGUUAGCUGAGAAGAUCUGCUCUAGCAUUUAGCAUAAGGAUUACCACCACUACUAUCUUAUGUUGUGUAGGUACUUAGAAGUUAAUUAGGAUCUUAGCUUAGAAGACCUGCUCUAGCACUAAGCAGAAGUUAAUUUGGAGUACUAUGACUUUUUGACAGUCUGUAAAACGGGGCACUUGCUUCGCAGGAAAAUUGAAACUGAAAAAUUGCAAGAGUUUUGCUUGAUGUUAUACUGCUAUCUCAUAUUGAAACUGAAAAAGUGAAAAUUUGUAAGAGUUUUGCUUCAUUUGGAGUACAAGUCCAAAUCUGUAUUGACAAUACAUGUUCUAUUUUUCUAUUGUUGAUCAGAUCCAUAUUGUCCUAAAUUGCAAAGUAAGUUAGCACAAAUUCAGUUUUAAUCCAAAUUAUUCAAAUAAAUCCAAAUAUUUUAAAUUAAUCCAAAUCAAUUCAAAUAAAUCCAAAUAACCCAAAUUAAUUCAAAUAAUCCAAAUUAAUCUAGUUAAUCUAAAUAACCCAGAUAAUUCAAUUAAUCCAAAUAACCCAAAUUCAAUAACACAAGGAUUAGACAAGGCAUACAUAAGGAGAUGACAUAAGAGCCUCUUUAUCCCCUCUUGACACAAGAUUACACAAGACAUACACAAGGAGCACCUGACUACAUGACAUAAGGGCCUCUUUGCCCCCUCUUGACUACAUUCUUUCUCUGGCCACUUCUUCCCUUCCCUUUACUUUUUUUCUUUUCCCUUCUCUAGCUAAUUCUUUCCUUUCAUUUUCUUUUCCUAUUGCAAUUUCCAUUUCUUCUAUAGUGGCCCUAGUAUCAACAACUACCCGACUGUCGCAAUAUACAUUGGUUAUUUCCAGUCCAGCAUUUUGAAAGCGAUCCUUGUGCAAGUGGGGCAACUUAUAUUGAUUUCCUCCUUUGUCUUUCAUAACUUCAAACAUAACUGCUUCUAAUGUGAUAAAGCUUCUGUGCAACUUGUCGGGAUCGUAGUUCUCGAAUUCCUCUUCCACACCCUGUACCAGUUCUUGGAUGUUUGUAGGUGACCUGCAGUCGGUUAGAGACUGGAGAGAGUUAUGGAAGCAGAGGUCCAAACAAUUUAACUCAGGGCUAUUUGGGGGCUGUUGUAGCAAUCGGAUGUCAAGAUCAGUUUGUUCCACAACUUCUCGAAAAGCUACAUCAUUGGGAAGGACAUGAGGCUUUGCGUUAUCCUGUUGGAUGAAUAUUGUUGCUCCCUCAUCAUCGUCAGGCCACUUAUCCUGAAUUGUCGGGAUAACCUUAUUGAUCAGAUAAUCUCUGCACACAGGCCUGGUUACUUUCACUGAUGUCAACACUUUUGUUCCCUUUGUUCUGUUCUGACUUGUCCGCUUCGCCUCACUCUCUUCGACGAAUGCCCAAAUGCCGAUCUUCCCAUCGAAUGUUAGCUCCCCCUCAUUGUUAUAUCGAGGCCUGGCAACAGCUGUUAGGAACAUUACCUUCCCAAUUUUGUGAGUGUUUGCCACGGUGCGCUUUGGUUCAGGCUCUCUUGGAAGUACAUAGUAACUAUUCUUCACUCUCGUCAUGUCAAACCACUUCUCAUCGAUGUGAACCAUAUUCGUCAUUGGUUUGAACAUAGCCCGAGAAGUUGAGAUCGAAUUGUCAUCGACCAUGGACAUACAAAAUUUCAAUCUCGCAAGCUUGUUCUCUAGCUUGAGGUGAGGCUUCACAGUGCUUGUGAUGCGGUUGAGCUCAUUCAACUGGAACCUCUUAUGUAGGGUCGAUCGGGCCACACCUAGAGACCGUGCCAGAGAUCGAAUUGUUCUUCUUUUAUUCAGUGGGAUUGUUGAGGUCCUCUCUAGAUCUAGCUCCUUUCUCUUUCGGCCAGAUCUUCCCGGCUUCUUGCUUGAGACAUCUACUUCUUUGCCAUCGGAUUUGCUUUUUGGUGUCUUCCCAGAUUCUUUCAACAGAUCGUACACUUAUGUCCAACAGGUUUGAGACUAGCAGCUUGUCGUCUGGUUGAACAGACCCAUCUCUGAGCUCGAUUACCAGCAAGGCGAAG